rnacentral:rRNA from 1 species
CAGAGCUAGGGAGUGGGAGAGGUAGACGGUACUCGGGAGGAAGUGGUAAAAUGCUUUGAUCUCUCGAUGACCACCUGUGGCGAAGGCGGUCUACCAGAACACGUCCGACGGUGAGGGAUGAAAGCUGGGGGAGCAAACCGGAUUAGAUACCCGGGUAGUCCCAGCUGUAAACUAUGCAAACUCAGUGAUGCAUUGGCUUGUGGCCAAUGCAGUGUUGCAGGGAAGCCGUUAAGUUUGCCGCCUGGGAAGUACGUACGCAAGUAUGAAACUUAAAGGAAUUGGCGGGGGAGCACCACAAGGGGUGAAGCCUGCGGUUCAAUUGGAGUCAACGCCAGAAAUCUUACCCGGAGAGACAGCAGAAUGAAGGUCAAGCUGAAGACUUUACCGGACAAGCUGAGAGGUGGUGCAUGGCCGUCGCCAGCUCGUGCCGUGAGAUGUCCUGUUAAGUCAGGUAACGAGCGAGAUCCCUGC